CCUACGGGGGGCUGCAGUGGGGAAUAUUGGACAAUGGGGGGAACCCUGAUCCAGCCAUGCCGCGUGUGUGAAGAAGGCCCUCGGGUUGUAAAGCACUUUCAGUGAGGAAGAACGCCUGGUGGUUAAUACCCAUCAGGAAAGACAUCACUCACAGAAGAAGCACCGGCUAACUCCGUGCCAGCAGCCGCGGUAAUACGGAGGGUGCGAGCGUUAAUCGGAAUUACUGGGCGUAAAGCGCGCGUAGGUGGCUUGAUAAGCCGGUUGUGAAAGCCCCGGGCUCAACCUGGGAACGGCAUCCGGAUCUGUCAAGCUAGAGUGCAGGAGAGGAAGGUAGAAUUCCCGGUGUAGCGGUGAAAUGCGUAGAGAUCGGGAGGAAUACCAGUGGCGAAGGCGGCCUUCUGGACUGACACUGACACUGAGGUGCGAAAGCGUGGGUAGCAAACAGGAUUAGAUACCCUUGUAGUC
rnacentral:rRNA from 1 species